GCCGGGGGGGGGGAUGUUGGGCCCCCCCGGUGCCGCGACGCCAGAGGGGUCCCACCACCACCACAUCUGGCACGUGCAGUACACAUAUGGCAUAUGCAGUGUGCGGUGGUGUGGGAUGUGCAGUGUGUGUGCAGUGUGUGUGCAGUGUGUGCAGUGUGUGUGUGCAGCGUGUAUGUGCAGUGCAUGCAGUGCGCGUGGUGUGCAGUGUGUGUGCAGUGCUUGCAGCGAGUGUGUGCAGUGUGUGCCCACAGUGUGUGCAGUGCGUGCCUGCAGUGCGUGCAGUGUGUGUGCAGUGUGCAGUGUGUGCGCAGCAUGUGCAGUGUGUACGCAGCAUAUGCACGGUCUGCAGCAUGUAGGGGGGGUGUGUUGUGCACAGGGUGUGCAGCAUGCAGCGUGCACACAGCAUGCAGUGAGUGCAGCGGCUGGGGUGGGCAGUGUUUGCUCAACAUGCAGUGUGCACACAGACAGAUGUGCAAGCAGGGUGCGCAGGGUGCAGUGUGGGAGCAGUGUGCAGGCAGUGUCUGCAACGUGUGCAGUGUGUGUGCAGUGCAUGGCGUGUGUGUGCACAGUGUACAUGCAACGUGUACGGUGUGUGUGCAGUGUGAGCAGUGCAAGCAGUGUGAGAAGCGUGUGCAGUGUGAGCAGUGCAAGCAGUGUGAGCAGUGUGAGCAGUCUGUACAGUGAGUAUUGUGAGCAGUGCAAGCAGCGUGUGCAGUGCAUGCAAUGAGAGCAGUGUGAGCAGUACAUGCAGUGUGAACAGCACACGUAGUGCGAGCAGUGCGAGCAGUGCAAGCAGUGUGAGCAGUGUGAGCAGUGCGAGCAGUCCAUGCAGUGCGAGCAGUGGGAGCAGCACAACGUGCAGCCCUGCGGGGGGGGGGCACAGCCGUGGCUUUCCCACGGGCAGGCGGGGGCAGCCUGGGGGCUGGGCCCCCCCCAGCAGGGGCCGGGCCCCCCGGGGCGGGGCGGGGCGAGGCGAGGCCGCCCCCUGCCCGCCCCCGCCGCCGGGGCCGCCUCCCGCGGGCGCGCAUGUGCCCGCGGCACGGCUCCGCACCGCUCUCCCGGGAGCUUCGCAGCUGGCACCCGAGCCGUGCCGGGCCGUGCCUGGCCGUGCCAAGCCGUGCCUGGCCGUGCCGGGCCGUGCCGAGCCGUGCCGGGCCGUGCCAUGGCCCCGCCGUGCGCCGGGGCGCUGCGCUGCGCGCUCCUUUGCGCGUUCCUUUGCGCGCUGCUGUGCGCGCAGGGCCCCGCUGCCACCCGCGCAGGAGAAUGCGGCGAGCUGCGAUCCUGCCAGACAUGCACCGCCGGCACCGCCUCGCCCAACGGCUCCGCCUGCGUCUGGGUGGGCUGCGGGGCGCCCCAGGAGCCAGAGACCUGGAGCUGCGUGCAGAGAGGGGCGGCAGCACGGGGGACGUGCGUGCUCUACAACACCACCGCCCUGUGCCCAGCAGCGCUGAAAUCCCCCACCAAAGAGCCCCCACGGCCCCCUAGCAAGGAGCCGGUGACGCAUUCGCCACGUGAGUGGGGUUGGGGGGCUGGGGGGCCAGGAGGGGGGGGGCAAUGAUGGGAUGGGACCGGCCUCUUCCCUCUGCAUCCCCUGGGGAGGGAUGAGCGCUGCCCCCCUCUUGGGGUUGCACUGAUGGAGGUUACACCGUGGCUGUGCCCACAGGGUGCCAGCCCCGUCCCCAUGGUCACAGCUCGGUCCCUGGCCCCCCUUUUUUUUUCCCCUUUUUUCCUUGCCGGGGGGGGCACGGGGAGGACAGCAGCAGGUGAAGGGGCUGGGAGCGGAGGAGCCUCUUCCAGGAAACGGGAUCUGGAGGGCACGGGGCUCGCUGCGGCCGUAACCGGAGCCGCUGCCCUCUGAAUUAUUGAUGCCAGCGGGCUGCUCCGGCACGGGAGGGGGCUGAGGGGGGGGCACAUCCCUGCCUUUCCUCCCUC
ensembl:lncRNA